CGGCGGCCGUAACUAUAACGGUCCUAAGGUAGCGAAAUUCCUUGUCGGGUAAGUUCCGACCUGCACGAAUGGCGUAAUGAUGGCCAGGCUGUCUCCACCCGAGACUCAGUGAAAUUGAACUCGCUGUGAAGAUGCAGUGUACCCGCGGCAAGACGGAAAGACCCCGUGAACCUUUACUAUAGCUUGACACUGAACAUUGAGCCUUGAUGUGUAGGAUAGGUGGGAGGCUUUGAAGUGUGGACGCCAGUCUGCAUGGAGCCGACCUUGAAAUACCACCCUUUAAUGUUUGAUGUUCUAACGUUGGCCCCUGAUCGGGGUUGCGGACAGUGUCUGGUGGGUAGUUUGACUGGGGCGGUCUCCUCCUAAAGAGUAACGGAGGAGCACGAAGGUUGGCUAAUCCUGGUCGGACAUCAGGAGGUUAGUGCAAUGGCAUAAGCCAGCUUGACUGCGAGCGUGACGGCGCGAGCAGGUGCGAAAGCAGGUCAUAGUGAUCCGGUGGUUCUGAAUGGAAGGGCCAUCGCUCAACGGAUAAAAGGUACUCCGGGGAUAACAGGCUGAUACCGCCCAAGAGUUCAUAUCGACGGCGGUGUUUGGCACCUCGAUGUCGGCUCAUCACAUCCUGGGGCUGAAGUAGGUCCCAAGGGUAUGGCUGUUCGCCAUUUAAAGUGGUACGCGAGCUGGGUUUAGAACGUCGUGAGACAGUUCGGUCCCUAUCUGCCGUGGGCGCUGGAGAACUGAGGGGGGCUGCUCCUAGUACGAGAGGACCGGAGUGGACGCAUCACUGGUGUUCGGGUUGUCAUGCCAAUGGCACUGCCCGGUAGCUAAAUGCGGAAGAGAUAAGUGCUGAAAGCAUCUAAGCACGAAACUUGCCCCGAGAUGAGUUCUCCCUGACUCCUUGAGAGUCCUGAAGGAACGUUGAAGACGACGACGUUGAUAGGCCGGGUGUGUAAGCGCAGCGAUGCGUUGAGCUAACCGGUACUAAUGAACCGUGAGGCUUAACCUU
rnacentral:rRNA from 1 species